rnacentral:rRNA from 1 species
GGUUGUGCCCUUGAGGCGUGGCUUCCGGAGCUAACGCGUUAAAUCGACCGCCUGGGGAGUACGGCCGCAAGGUUAAAACUCAAAUGAAUUGACGGGGGCCCGCACAAGCGGUGGAGCAUGUGGUUUAAUUCGAUGCAACGCGAAGAACCUUACCUGGUCUUGACAUCCACAGAACUUUCCAGAGAUGGAUUGGUGCCUUCGGGAACUGUGAGACAGGUGCUGCAUGGCUGUCGUCAGCUCGUGUUGUGAAAUGUUGGGUUAAGUCCCGCAACGAGCGCAACCCUUAUCCUUUGUUGCCAGCGGUUCGGCCGGGAACUCAAAGGAGACUGCCAGUGAUAAACUGGAGGAAGGUGGGGAUGACGUCAAGUCAUCAUGGCCCUUACGACCAGGGCUACACACGUGCUACAAUGGCAUAUACAAAGAGAAGCGACCUCGCGAGAGCAAGCGGACCUCAUAAAGUAUGUCGUAGUCCGGAUUGGAGUCUGCAACUCGACUCCAUGAAGUCGGAAUCGCUAGUAAUCGUAGAUCAGAAUGCUACGGUGAAUAC